AAUAAGUUCAGAGCGAGCAAUUCAAGCUCUUCAACUCUAAAGUCACUGUUUAAAGUCACUCUUUGGUGACUUCUUUUUUGGCAAGAUAAAUAUUUUAAAGCAUAAGAAAUGGGCGUUCCCUUGCAACUUCAUGCUGGAGACAGUCAGGGGUCCACCCUUCGGCAUUAGUGAGGGUCGCUGUGCCCAGCUGUCGUGACACCGAGCCUUCAGGACCCGCGCUGUGAGGACCAAAGAGCCAGCACCCGCGCUCCCCGGCUUUGUACUCGCCUCCGUUCUCUGAGCCCGGGUUCAAUGGGAAUAAACAGAGGCGCCUUCAAAACAGAAAGGGAAAUCAGCCACUGCAAAGAAUAACUGCGUUCCACGAGGCCUCUCAACAAGGCCACCGCCGGGAGCCGCGGUGUCCCCCGGCGCAGGGGCGGAGGGGCGCACCUGGCGGCGAGGGCGGGGCGGGACGCGGUCUUCGUUUUCUUUUCCUUGUCAAGUGAAUUCCCCGAAGGGCUCCGAAGCUUCUGCUUGGCAGAACAAGGGAAAAUAAGACAUUUUUAAUGUAUUCCAUUGUCUUUCCCGGUGACAGAGCGCCGUCCCCCAGCAGGUUUCCAAGUGUCUCUGUCACUGCGCGCCCGGGCUCUCCUCUCCGCGCUGCCGCCCGUAAUGAGCGGGAAGAAGGAGUGCUCGUCGCAGAGGGCGAUUAUCACAGGUCUCCCAGCUCCUGCUUCCACCUGCCGAGGAAAUCACGGCUCCGCGGCGCGGGCAUUUAUCCUUGUGCAAGUUCAUUUGCAAGUUGAGCAGAACUCAAAGGCAGGAACCCACCAAGACAGUCGGUCCGGAAGGAACGCCGUCCGUUUAAACAUCUGGGUCUCACUAAGUUGCUGGCUUUGAAGAUGAAGAAUGCCACAAGCCAUGGGCUGUGGGUGACCUCUAGAAGCUAGAAGAACCAGCUACAAGAGUCUCCCGUGUAGCCUCCUUGGUGUUAGCUUAGUGAGUCCCUUUUUGGGUCUCCCUAAGGGACCCCUUCUGACUUCCAAAACAUGAGUUUGUGUUGGUUUGAUCCACUUAUAUUUGCAGUAAUUUGUUAGAAAUUGUGACCAGCCUCAGUUCAGUGCUGGCUGCUGGGAGAGCCUUCCCUGACCACCUGUCCAGAGCCAGGUGUGUGGCUGCUGUCCUGGUGUGCGGCUAUGGCAAAUACCUGAGCGAAGCCACUUAGGAGAGGAAAGGGUUAUCUUGGCUCACAGGGUUGGAGCUUUCAGUCCAUGAUCGACUGCCCUGUGCUGGCACGUCAUGGCAGGGGACACAGCAGAGCCAAAUCCUUCACCUGUGGCUGGGAAGCAAAAGAGAUGGAGAGGAAGGUCCAGGGUCCCACAGUCCCUUCAAAGGCCAUCCCCCAGGGACCUGAAGACCUCCCAGGAGGCCCACCAGCUCCCCAAAACAUCACCCUGAGGAGCAAACCUUUGUCACCACAUGGGACUCUGGGGGACACACGGGAUCCAAACUCCAGCACUUGGGCAGGUGCUAAGCACUGCUUUAGGGACACAGCAGUGAACAAGAUGCUAAUAACGUGCCUGCAGGAGGACAAUAAAUCAAUAAGAAAAAUAAA